rnacentral:rRNA from 1 species
UACGUAGGUGGCAAGCGUUAUCCGGAUUUAUUGGGCGUAAAGGGAACGCAGGCGGUCUUUUAAGUCUGAUGUGAAAGCCUUCGGCUUAACCGGAGUAGUGCAUUGGAAACUGGGAGACUUGAGUGCAGAAGAGGAGAGUGGAACUCCAUGUGUAGCGGUGAAAUGCGUAGAUAUAUGGAAGAACACCAGUGGCGAAAGCGGCUUUCUGGACUGAAACUGACGCUGAGGCUCGAAAGCGUGGGGAGCGAACAGG